CUCUGUGCAUGAGUACAGCUAAAGAAUUUCGCUCUGACACAUCAACAAUUCUGCAGUAUGGAAAGCCCCUUUACUUUUUGGGAAACUCAAAUCUUUAUGACAGAAUCUGUAUCUUAAGAUGUGCCUCACAAAUAGCUGUAUAAGUCGAAUUCAUACCUGUAUGGAGAAAGAAAUGUAAGAGAAAGAAGAAUCAUUGUACACUAAGGAUCUUGUGCAGCCUAUUACAAGUACAGCUACAUGUACAGCAGAACUGAGCCUCUGGAGCUAUAUGCAGCUUUGAA